rnacentral:rRNA from 1 species
CCUACGGGAGGCAGCAGUGGGGAAUUUUGCGCAAUGGGGGAAACCCUGACGCAGCAACGCCGCGUGAGUGAUGAAGGCCUUCGGGUCGUAAAGCUCUUUUAGUGGGGAAGAAUCCCACCCGGGCCAAUACCUCGGGUGUCUGACGGUACCCACAGAAAAAGUUCCGGCUAACUACGUGCCAGCAGCCGCGGUAAUACGUAGGGAGCAAGCGUUGUUCGGAAUUAUUGGGCGUAAAGAGCGCGUAGGCGGUUCGGUAAGUCUGAUGUGAAAUCCCAGAGCUCAACUCUGGAACUGCAUUGGAUACUGCCGAGCUUGAGUGUGGGAGAGGAGAGUGGAAUUCCCAGUGUAGAGGUGAAAUUCGUAGAUAUUGGGAGGAACACCCGUGGCGAAGGCGGCUCUCUGGACCACAACUGACGCUGAGGCGCGAAAGCUAGGGUAGCAAACGGGAUUAGAUACCCCGGUAGUCCUAGCCGUAAACGAUGGGCACUAGGUGUUGGAGGUAUCGACCCCUCCAGUGCCGCAGCUAACGCAUUAAGUGCCCCGCCUGGGGAGUACGGCCGCAAGGUUGAAACUCAAAGGAAUUGAC